UACGUAGGGUGCAAGCGUUAAUCGGAAUUACUGGGCGUAAAGCGUGCGCAGGCGGCUUUGCAAGACAGAUGUGAAAUCCCCCGGGCUCAACCUGGGAACUGCAUUUGUGACUGCAUGGCUAGAGUACGGUAGAGGGGGAUGGAAUUCCGCGUGUAGCAGUGAAAUGCGUAGAUAUGCGGAGGAACACCGAUGGCGAAGGCAAUCCCCUGGACCUGUACUGACGCUCAUGCACGAAAGCGUGGGGAGCAAACAGG
rnacentral:rRNA from 1 species